rnacentral:rRNA from 1 species
GAUGAACGCUGGCGGCGUGCCUAAUACAUGCAAGUCGAGCGAACAGAUGAGGAGCUUGCUCCUCUGACGUUAGCGGCGGACGGGUGAGUAACACGUGGAUAACCUACCUAUAAGACUGGGAUAACUUCGGGAAACCGGAGCUAAUACCGGAUAAUACAUUGAACCGCAUGGUUCAAUAGUGAAAGACGGUUUUGCUGUCACUUAUAGAUGGAUCCGCGCCGCAUUAGCUAGUUGGUAAGGUAACGGCUUACCAAGGCAACGAUGCGUAGCCGACCUGAGAGGGUGAUCGGCCACACUGGAACUGAGACACGGUCCAGACUCCUACGGGAGGCAGCAGUAGGGAAUCUUCCGCAAUGGGCGAAAGCCUGACGGAGCAACGCCGCGUGAGUGAUGAAGGUCUUCGGAUCGUAAAACUCUGUUAUUAGGGAAGAACAAAUGUGUAAGUAACUAUGCACGUCUUGACGGUACCUAAUCAGAAAGCCACGGCUAACUACGU